GACCCUAAGCACGCCAGAGAUGUUAGACCUGAACACGGGGAUAGACCUUCAGCCACGCCGAGACUGGCCACUGGGUGGCGCACACGGAACAUAGCUGAAUAGCACCACGAAGACUGAAAACGGACCUGACAUGGGGAUCACAACCCACAGAAGGCAGGUUGGAGUUUGAGGUCUGAACUCAACCAAAUUGGUUACCUACGGUGUCAGUUAUCAACUUACUGCCUCUCAGCUUUGAAUGCGCCACUCAGUAAAUAUACCCUGUGUUUUACAAUGGCCUUCCUUUAAAUAUUGGUCCUUUAAAGUGAGCGCAGUGCUAUGCUUUCUCAGUAGAAGGCACUGGAGGGACAAGACUUCCUGCCCUUUUUUAGCGUGGGCUGGGGAUCAGCAGUGUGCAUGUGAGAAUAUCCAUCGGAACCUGCCCCAAGCAUGGGCUCAGAACAGUCCCUUUGCGACUUUGUAUCCUUGGCCUUGCAGUCACCUUUCUACAGCUCUCUUGAGCCAGAAAACAGAGCCCUUGUGCAGCCCACCUGCUCCGAAGACCCCCUGCCUGCGCUUGUAUUUCGACUUUCUUCGUAAGCCUCCAUAUUACCUGCACGCAGCUGCCUGCGGCCCUGAGGGUCACAUGCCAACCUGCCACGCCUUCUGCAAGUGGCUGUGUGGUCCACACACUCUGAAGGCCAUCUGUCCCUUCUAACACCUGGACUUCCAUCGCAUGCCCAUGCCACCAGUUGCUGAUUAGCUGUUUCUACCUGCACUUGAGGGGGUCGUCUAUUAGUUGCCCAGCAACUCCAGACUAGCCUGCCCAAACCGGAGGACUUACCUGCUAUCUGAUGGGCUGAACCCCUUCCAAGUUGGCCCUUCCUUGGAUACACUCCCUCAGCCCUGGGGUAUGAAUGGAAAGACAGAAAAAUAUCAACACAGAAACAGAAGAUAUAAAUAACUCAUUGGAAAUUUUAGAAAUAAAAUAGACAAUAAUUGAAAUAAAAUACUGGAUAGGCUCACAAACAUAAUGGAGAUGGCAUAGGGAAGAGCCAGGAAACUUGAAGGUAGAUUACUGAGUAUUACCAAUCUGAAAAUAAAAGAGAAGAAAAUAUUUAUCUAAAAUGAACAAGCCCUCAAGAAUCUAUGGAACAAUACUGAAAAGUCUAAUAUUUGUGUCAUCAGAAUUCCAGAAGGAGAGGAGAAAUAGUGUAAUGCAGAAAAAAAAAUUCCAAGAAAUAAUGGCUGAAAAUCCCCAAAUUUGGCAAAAGAUAUAAAUCAAGUGAUUUAAAAAGCCAAACAAAUCCAAAUCAGGAUAAUCCCCCCAAAAAUCCAGGCCCAGAUAUAAUAAUUAACCUGAAGAAACUCAAAGAUGAAAAAAUUUUGCCAGGCGCUGUGGCUCAUGCCUGUCAUCCCAGCAUUUUGGGAGGUUGAGAUGGGAGAAUAACUUGUGCCCAGGAGUUUGAGACCAGCCUGGGCGACAUAGUGAGACCUCAUUGCUGCAAAAAAAAAAUUUUUCUAAGUUAGCCGCACAUGGUGGUGCAUCCCUGUGUUUCCAGCUACCUGAGAGGCUGAGAAGGGAGGAUUGUUUGAGCCUAGGAGUUUGAGGCUGCAGUGAGUUGUGAUGGUGUCACUGCACUCCAGCCUGGGUGACAGAGUGAGAUCUUGUCUCUGGAGGGGGAAAGAGAAAAAAAAAAA
ensembl:lncRNA